GAAGCAUGUGCUGUUUAAAGCCACAAAAGAGUUAACGUUUAUUUCAACACAGUGAUAUUUCUAGAUCAUCAAAUUUUUGGACUACAGUGAAUAAGACCCAUCGUGUUAUUUGCCAUAUAAGGAAGAAAAAGCAAAUAAUGGUAUAUUACGGGAGUGUGAGAACGCAAUGGAGGCGUGUUUUCUCAUUUCCAGGCGUGGCGUGCGGACUUCCGUCUUCCUCCACAGACCUCAUAUAAAAUGACGGCAACAUUGCGACCCUACCUGAACGCGGUGCGCGCCACUCUUCAAGCAGCCCUGUGUCUGGAGAACUUCUCCUCUCAGGUGGUGGAGAGACACAACAAGCCUGAGGUGGAAGUUAGGAGUAGCAAAGAG